GAUCAAUUUAAAAUACAGAUAUGUACGACUUGUACACGAACACACGUAUGAGCGAAGUCGUUCAUGUUUUCUGUGUCGUAUCUGACAAUUUGACAGUUCUAGCUCGAUAGUAUUAAACAUGGCCGUUCGUGCAGAGAAAUUACUGUAAUAUAACACUAUUGAGGUCUAAAGGAAGUGUUAUUGAGAGAUAUUUCAAUAAAGGACAAUUAUGUUCGAGUCUCCGAGAAGCCUUCAGGAGGUUUGUGUAGACUUUAUUUGCGACAAUGUAUUAGUAUUGUGCGAGGUCCAUCCUGGCGACAGUGGGCUUCCUGUCAGUACACUACCACCUGCUGCCAUUGAUGAGCAAAUGAGCACAGGAGAUGGUCGCACAACAGUAUCAAGUGUAUCGUCAGUCACUAAUCUCUCAUCUCUGAACUUAUCAGCUGGUUCAGCAACCAGACUAAGUUUUAAGGAUCCAGAUGCAUUUUUACCUGCUGAAAUAUCUGAUCAACUCUUAUCCAGCUUAUGCGAACGAAAAGCAUUAUCUGAUCUGACUAUUACUUUAUUCGAUUCAAAAACGACCAGAUUACGCCAUGUAAGACUAAAAGAUGCAUCGAGCCUUUCUAUAAAAGGCUUAAAAGUUUUAAGUCAACAUAAGGUUGUGGAUUUGGAAAUAGAUGGACUUAAGAUUAAUGUCAACGAUUUGAUUGGCUGCCUGGGAGAAUGGAGUUUGCAAAAUCUAAGAUCCUUAAGUGUGGCAAAGGGUAGCUUUAUGGAUUGUGCUAGGUCUUGUGUAGUCGCGGCAUUGACUAAACUUCGAGCAUUACAAACUCUCAAUGUUUCUGGAACUGAGUUUAAUAAUCAUGGUCUCGAGAUUGUUGUCGAAGACCUACAGCUCUUAGAAAAUUUAGACAUUUCUUGUACACGAGUAGACGAUAUAACACCAUUGAAAAAGUGUAAGGACCGAUUGAAGUCAUUGAAAAUGUACAAUUUAAAAGUGAGCAGUUGUGGAAACCUGAUACCCGUAUUAUUGGAGCUGAAGAAAUUGAUAAAUUUGGAUAUAUCCGACGAACGAGAUGCCUUUCCACUUGAAAUGUUUGUUCCAGUUAGAUCUAAAAUAUCGGAUCUCUUGAAAGCCAGUUUCUGUAUGCCGUAUCUAGCUAGUCUAGAUAUCUCAGGUAGAAGAAAGGAUGAAAUACACAGAAAAGAUUUGAGAACGUUUAUUAAAUAUCACCCACAUUUAAGAUUUUUAGGCCUUGUUCAUACAGAUGCUUGUUAUGAUGACACUCUUAUUAAUCCCAUUAAUAAAAGUUACAGACGAAGUCUUGUGGUGAGUGGGACCGCAUCAGAGUCACAAAUUUUAGAAUCACUGAGACGAUACUGGUGCCGCCCAAUUUAUGUGCAAAAAUGCCUUUAUAAUUUAUUCCGUUUAACGCCAAACUUUAGUGAGGCAAGAGUUGACGUUAUAAAAUUAGUUAUACCUGGAAUGAAGGCUCAUCCCCAACAGUUUGGUGUACAAAUGGCUGCAACAGCAUGUCUCUACAAUCUUACAAAAGGAGACCUAGCGAAUAAAAUCCAUCCAUCGAUAUUAAAACAAAUUGUUGAUUUAACAUUGACAGCUAUGGAAUCGUUUCCAAAUCAUUACCAACUACAGAAAAAUACAUUACUUACGCUGUGCAGUGAUAGGAUAUUGCAGGAUGUUACUUUUGACAAAUAUAGGUGUGCAAGACUUGUGAUGAAUUGUCUGUCAGCAUUUGAUGAUCCUUCAAUGAAUCGAAUGUCAGUUGCAAUAUGCUCCAUUUUGGCAGCUAAAAUUUCCACCGAUGAAACAUCAAUGCUGGGGGCACAACCGCAGUACAUGUCUAAACUAUUAGCCAUGAUCCGGUCUAAAGUUCAAACAAAAUCUGUGGACAUUACCAUGAAGUUUACGUUGAGCGCCCUUUGGAAUUUAACUGAUGAAAGUGCAACGACAUGCGCCGUAUUUCUCGAAGAAGGUGGCAUGGCUCUAUUUCUUGAAGUACUGAAAAGUUUCCAAGGAGAGUCUAGUGUCGAAACAAAGGUUUUGGGCUUGCUGAAUAACAUAGCAGAGGUACCUCAUCUCAGGCAAUGGCUAAUGCAACCUUCUUUUAUAACGAUGCUCUCGUCACUUUUGGAUUCCGAACAGAUUGAUGUAUCCUAUUUUGCGGCAGGAAUUGCUGCACAUCUGUUGAGUGAUGGACCAUGUGUAUGGGCUUCGGUACCGUCUUUACCACCUAGGUCUCAAUUAUUGGAUCAGUUAGCUAAAGCAGUGACCAAUUGGCAAACACCUCAGAGUGAAAUGGUUGCAUAUCGAAGUUUUCAGCCAUUCUUUCCUCUUUUGCGAUGCGCCGAUGCACAUCCUGUGCAAUUAUGGGCUAUAUGGGCAAUACAUCAUGUAUGCACUAAGAAUCCUAAACGGUAUUGUGGAAUGCUGUCGAGGGAAGGUGGUGGUGCCAUACUAGCAUUGCUCGCAAAGGAGAAGAGCGGUGACACUCAGCCUAUCGUGCGUACCUUGUGCCUCUCCGUGCUUGAAGCAUUGGCCACUCACUGUUGACCAUUUACAAUUUGACAAACGAGUACCAUAUACCUGGUAUACUAGUCAAUUUUAUCCCUCUGUUGAGGUGGUAUCGUUGAUGGAGAAAAAAGAGGCUGUGAAGGAGUAUGUGUGGUCUGUGCUGUGGAAGCAGCCAUCUCGGAUCAAACGAGAAAUAUUAUAUAUAGAUCAUAUGCACUUAGUGCAUUAAAGAUACGGAUUUGCAAAUGAUAUUUAAAAUCCUGUAAAUUGGCAAAUUUGGACGAAAAUUAUUUGAGCAUACUAUUGAUAUGUUGGCACAGAAUAAGUAAUGCUUGCUAAAAAUAACGUCGAGCAGCCCUGUUUCACAAAAUAAGAUGAUAAACGUUGAUUGUUUCUUAGAUUUUUAGUAUCUCUUACCUAUUUUUUAAACUCCCAAUACGGUGUGAACGGCUAGUUUUAUCACAUGUAACUCAAUUUAAAUUAUUUUCAUAAAGUUUUAACAACAUAGUUUUAUUAUUUGAUUUGUGAGUAUUAUUACCCGCUUUGACUGUAUCUUCGGUCAAUGCUAUCUGCAAGACAUUAAGAAAUUUGUUACAUGGUAGCCGGUUUUUUUUAUCGGAAAUUUACUUGCUGUGAAAUUUUAUAAAGAAAAUGUAAAUCUGAAGAAAUAUGUAAAUUUGUCUACUGGUUUUUUACAAAUCUCGACAUCUUUUGUGCUACAAUUGUAGAGCAUAUUUCGAUCUUGAGCGGUUCUUUUUUUUUUUUUUUUAGUCACUUUCAUUCGGUCACGAAGAAAUAUCUUAAUUCGAACUAAUUGCAAGGAAAACGUAGUAUUAUUACACUUACUGUUCAUACCGUUUGUAGAAAAGAUUUGUCCAAUGGUUUGGAUUUUAAAAUACCUGUUCGCAAAUAUCUAUAAUGGAUAGGAAAUUGCUGUUGUUUCUUGAAACAGAUUUGUGUGUCUGUUAAUAACAAUACUUAACUAAUAAUGACAAGUUUAUUGCAUCUUAUUGAUAGAAGAUAGCGCAAACUAGUGUUUUGCCAUUUUGAAUUUUCGAGGUAAUCCUUAUCAAGAUUUUAAGUUAGCAUCGGAAAAUUUUAAGUAGGACUUAUUCUGUUUUUUCAUGUGCAGUAUCUCAGUAUAUCUGUUAUGAACUAAUACACCAAAUCUUGUAAGUAGGAAUUUUCAUUUCGUCACUCGACGAGUCUUUUUUGAUUCGAUUUUUCUGUAUUUGUUAAAAAUAUUGUUAAUAGGCAGCUAUAAAUAGAGAUAUGCAUGUAAACGUUAAAAAUAGAUAAAUUUGGAAAUAUUCAGUAUGCAUAUCUCCUUAUUGAAGUAAAAUAAUUGUUAAAAAUAGUGUCAGCAAUAUUUAAGAUGAAAGUGAAAACAUUUGAGAAGAAAAGAUUGAUUACAAUAUCCGGAGAGUUCCGUCAGAACUUUUUGUCUUACAUGACAAAAAGUGCAAAGCACAAAUAUUUCGUUCAUUGGAAAUAUAUUGCUCUAUUACGUCUCGAUUGUCAUGUUAUAAAUUUUGUUGGCUAUUAAAUAUAGAAAAAUGUCUUUCUAUAACUCCAAAUGUACAUUAUGUGUAUAGUAUAUUCUGCCAUUAUACAUAAAAAAAAGAAAUAUUAGUUAUAUCGAAGUAUUUUACUUCAUAGUUAUCCCAAUGAAAUGGUACCUACAGUAAAUUAUAUUUAUUGUUAAACAAUUGAUUAUAUAGCUUGUUGAUUGUAUGACUAUAGAGAUAACGCUUAGUUACAUGUAGUUUUUGCAAACCAUAAAGGUAUUUUACAGAAAAAUGAGUUUAUGUCACACAAAAAUUGCCCACAAUAUCUUUCACAGAAUUGUUUUCUACUCAUCUUUGUUAGAUUUGCUUUGUCCUUUUGAAUUGAAAAUUAAAAUGACUGCCUAUUUUUAUAUCUGAUUGAUACCUAUUCAUCAAUUUUUCUGACAUAAAUAUUAUUCAAAUGAACAGGUAAUUAUUUAAUAGUGACGGUUAGUUAUUUUUACUUCAAUACGGUUUCAUGUAUUUUUCUUGUUUCAACUUCUAAUGUGUUGUUAGUUUUGUUACGCUUUAUGUGCCAGAACAACUAAUCAAUUCAAAUAUUUGGAACAAUUUACAAUACGAAUACUACCAGGUAUUUUUCAGAUUGGUAAACUGUUCAUGCAUUCAGUCCAACCGCACAGAACCAUUUUACACUAUCUAAUAUUCAAAAACCUCAAUGUGAAUCAAACUAACACAAAAUAAAUUCUGGAAUUAUUCAAAAUACUCAUAUUUCGAAUCUUCGAUAUUGCAGAUUAUUUGGAACACAUUCAGCAAGUUUUGGCAAUGUUAGACUUUCGUAAAAUAUGGAAAACAAAGGGUUGAAUCAGGUAAAUUUGAAACUCAAUUAUUUCCUGGUUUUAUAAUAAUUUGCUCAUCAGUCGUAUCACGCACACUGCCAGUAAAUACGCCUUUCAUAUGUAAUAUCAAAUAAUAAUAAAAUAAAUAACUGCUUCAUAAUUUUCUAGAAGUAUUAGGCACAGAAUUGUUCAUCUAAUUUCCGUCCAAUGCACUGCUCUUGCUAAGUUUCAAUUUCUGCAGGAAUUGAGAGCGUGUCUUAUGUUUAUACUUGUUAGACGUGUUACGUAAACUAUUAAUAAUAAAAUUAAUAAAAAUAAACAACGGUAUGUGGAUGAAAGUAUAUAAAGCACCAAACGUUUUUGAAAAUCUUAACAUAUUUAUUUAUGCUAUGUAAGUAUUACAAGGUGUUUUGGGUGUGUCAUAACAGAAGUAUUCUUAUCAUUAUCAUGAAUCAACUGCCAUAAUUUUUAUGAAAUUGGAGAAAGUAUAAUUUUUUUUGUAAGACAGUAAUAAUACGUACAAAACGAUGAAGGUAAACGUGUAAAGUCAAGAAACUGCAGCCAAUUGUCAACGUUUACGCACAAUCCUGUACUGUAUUUUUAUCAAAAAACAAAUUUGUAGUCCAAUUUCUUUUCCAUCCGCCCCAUCAUUAUACCAAGACUUGCCGUAAAAAGGUCUCAUAACUUCACAUUAAAAAUUUAUUCGCAAUUAUUGUUUGGCCAAUUGCAAUGCAAUAUGCGGGCCAUUUAAUUUAAUUAAUAAUUUUAUUUCCAUUUAAGCAAAUGAGGCACCUCCAACUAAUUUAGUAACCUUGUGAUUUCUUUGUAGGCAAUAGUUUAGUUGGUGUUGUGAUUUUGUAUGAAGAAAGUAUUGCGUACUGUAAUGGCUGCUAGUUGGUAUUCAUUUUUGAACCUUACAUUUCAAAAAAGCUCCACUUCUUUCUCGUGAGUCUAUACAUGUGUGUAUUUGCAUAUAUGUAUGUCUAUGAAUAUAGACACACACACACCAUAUAUUUUUAUCGGGUUUUUCCUAUACAAAAAUGCAAUUUCACCAUCUCUUGGUAUGAAAACUUAAUUUUGUGACCGUCACAGAGUAACUUGACUUUAGAGACAACGGUGUAUAAGAAGUUUUAAGAGAAACACCAUAAGUGAAAAAAUUUGUGGCCAAAGUGGAUAUUCGAAUUUACAAUUUCAGCUCAGUUUCUCCCUAGUAACAUCUUAUCACAUUGUAGCGAAUUGUGUUACCCAUCGGUACUUAAGCCCACUAAGGUGUUCGACGAUUCUGUGCCGAUGUUUCGACAAGCUUCGUUGGACGAUGAAAGUUUUGUGCGCAGGUAUAUUGCUACAUCUCUAAGAAAAUGCCCAAUUGUAUUAUGGCGUCAAUUGUAUCUACAAAUUAAAGGAGUAUAUUGAACUUUGUGCAACAGUUUGGCUAACUUUUUUAUUAAACAAGAUUAAACAAAUUCUAGUUAUCUUAAAUUGUCACUCUUAUCAUCCGUCCUCGAAAAAUGUUAUUACUACAUUUUUGGUUCGCAAUUUAUAGUAUACAAAGCAAAAGAAUUUCUAUCGUUUGACUAUGCAUAAAUAAAAUUCAAUUCUUUGACUGUGAAUAACAUUAUACGAGAAAAUUAAGUCUCGAAUUACGAAUUUUCUCUUUGCAUUAUUAAAUUUAAUCUGGACUGUUAGCUUUAGGAAUUUGUUAGUUUUGGCUCUGUUAUUAAUAUUCUUUUUUCAGAAGUGUUAUGUAUUAUUAUACAACCGAUAAUAUAGACGUAUCACAUCAACGUCUAUUUUAAGGUGUAUUAUCUUGUAAAUUUUUAAAAGUUGUAUUGCAUUGUACACAUAAAAUAUUAUAACAGAGCCACCGAACUAACUAGUGAAAAAAGUAACUACUAAAAACAUUUUCAAUUUUUUUUCUUCUAAAGUAAUGAAAGACUCAAUAUCGGUAUGUAAGAUUACUACUUGAAUUGUUACUUUUCAAAAUAAGAAAUUUACAUAAUAUACUUCCCUUAUCUCUAGAUGAAAGAGAAAUAUAUUUAUCAAAGGACGUUACAUGAGAAUUGCUGUUUUGUCUGUAACAUCCAGAGAAUUGUUAGCAACAAAGCCAUUCAUGGAUUAGAUGCAUGAUGAGAUUAAUUGACAACAUAGCCAUUGUGUUGAUUCUUGUCUCUAGCAUCUGUUAACUCUGUGACACACAGUCCCCUAAGUAUGGGUUCUCAAUCAUCGAGAUU
rnacentral:misc_RNA from 1 species